CGAAGGGGUGGACCUGGAGCGAAUCUCAGAAAUAACGUCUCAGUUCGGAUUGUAGUCUGCAACUCGACUACAUGAAGCUGGAAUCGCUAGUAAUCGCGGAUCAGAAUGCCGCGGUGAAUACGUUCCCGGGUCUUGUACACACCGCCCGUCACACCAUGGGAGUCGGGAAUGCCCGAAGCCAGUGACCCAAGCGAGAGCAGGGAGCUGUCGAAGGCAGGCCGGAUAACUGGGGUGAAGUCGUAACAAGGUAAC
rnacentral:rRNA from 1 species